UUCAUUCAUUUAAUCAAUACUCUGACGCAAAGAGACAGCGUUCGGUGGUCCUCCGGGGGCGGCGGCGGACGCUCUGCCCCCGAGGCAAAAGGGUUUUUUGGUCAACAAUGGGUUGGGGACGGGGGCGCGGGGGCCCGCCAUCUUUGGUAAUGAUCCCUCCGCAGGUUCACCUACGGAGA
rnacentral:misc_RNA from 1 species